GACGAACGCUGGCGGCGUGCCUAACACAUGCAAGUCGAGCGAGAAGCUUAAGAUAGAUUCCUUCGGGAUGAAGUUUUGAGUGGAAAGCGGCGGACGGGUGAGUAACGCGUGAGUAACCUGCCCUUCAUUACGGGAUAGCACACCGAAAGGUGUAUUAAUACCGUAUGACAUAUAUUUAUCGCAUGAUAGAUAUAUUAAAGAUUUAUUGAUGAAGGAUGGACUCGCGUCUGAUUAGAUAGUUGGUGAGGUAACGGCUCACCAAGUCGACGAUCAGUAGCCGAACUGAGAGGUUGAUCGGCCACAUUGGGACUGAGACACGGCCCAGACUCCUACGGGAGGCAGCAGUGGGGAAUAUUGCGCAAUGGGGGAAACCCUGACGCAGCAACGCCGCGUGAAGGAUGAAGGUCUUCGGAUUGUAAACUUUGUCCUAUGGGAGAAGAAAGUGACGGUACCAUAGGAGGAAGCCACGGCUAACUACGUGCCAGCAGCCG
rnacentral:rRNA from 1 species